rnacentral:rRNA from 1 species
AUUGAACGCUGGCGGCGUGCCUAACACAUGCAAGUCGAGCGGUAACAGGUGUAGCAAUACAUGCUGACGAGCGGCGAACGGGUGAGUAAUGCUUCGGAAUCUACCCAAUGGUGGGGAAUAACCAGCCGAAAGGUUGGCUAAUACCGCAUACGUCCCACGGGAGAAAGCAGGGAUCGCAAGACCUUGCGCCAAUGGAUGAGCCGAAGUCGGAUUAGCUAGUUGGAGGGUAACGGGCCUACCAAGGCGACGAUCCGUAGCUGGUCUGAGAGGACGACCAGCCACACUGGGACUGAGACACGGCCCAGACUCCUACGGGAGGCAGCAGUGGGGAAUAUUGGACAAUGGGGGAAACCCGUGAUCCAGCGACGCCGCGUGUGUGAAGAAGGCCGUGCGGGGG